CCUACGGGUGGCAGCAGUGAGGAAUAUUGGUCAAUGGACGCAAGUCUGAACCAGCCAUGCCGCGUGCAGGAAGACGGCUCUAUGAGUUGUAAACUGCUUUUGUACGAGGGUAAACUCAGAUUCGCGUAUCUGUCUGAAAGGAUCGUACGAAUACGGAUCGGCUAACUCCGGGCCCGCAGCCGCGGUAAUACGGAGGAUUCAAGCGUUAUCCGGAUUUAUGGGGUUUAAAGGGUGCGUAGGCGGUCGGAUAAGUUAGAGGUGAAAUCCCGAGGCUCAACUUCGGAAUUGCCUCUGAUACUGUUAGGCUAGAGAGUAGUUGCGGUAGGCGGAAUGUAUGGUGUAGCGGUGAAAUGCUUAGAGAUCAUACAGAACACCGAUUGCGAAGGCAGCUUACCAAGCUACUUCUGACGUUGAGGCACGAAAGCGUGGGGAGCAAACAGGAUUAGAUACCCCAGUAGUC
rnacentral:rRNA from 1 species